GGCUUACCUCGGAGGUACCAUGGGUUCCCUUCCAGGCCAGCCCAGGAAAGCGAAGGUCACAUCAAGACAGACAAUCAAUUGAAGACAAUAUGAAAAGGAAAACCAAAAUCAAUGUGAAGAUAACACAAGCAAUCAAAGGAAAGAGGAUUUUACAUUUUAAUAAUCCUUAGUGCUAAUAGAGCAUCCAUUUAUGCACAAUGUAAAUAAAUUAAAUUUCAUUUAGCAAAUCAAA